rnacentral:lncRNA from 1 species
AGGUUUUGGGGGAGAGUUGCAUGAAUAGGGUUAUUUGUGAAGUUUUGAUGAUUUUGUGAGUAAAACUUGUUUCUGUGUUGUAUGUGUUGUGUGUUUGGGGUUUUAAGGUAGUUUUUGACCCCUUUGAGCAUAUACAUGAGUGUAUGCAAGUUGAGGACUUAAGGUGUUUGAGUUUGAGAGAGUUUUGGUGCUUUUGGCGAGAGGUAGAGCACGUUUCUGUCUUGCGGAUGAACUCAGGUUCGGCCGCCGAAGGUACAUUCGGCCGCCGAACCCAUGAGGAGGUGGCUUCAGCUGCCCAAGCUUGCCCCCGAGCUUUUGGACUUUCGGCUCUGGAGGGGAGUUCGGCCGCCGAAGGUGCCGCCGAAGGUUAGAGACUUUCGUCUCUGGAGUGCCUUUCAGCCUCCAAAACUUGCCCCCGAAAGGGUUCGGCUGCCGAAAGUAGAGAUUCGGCCGCCGAAGGUGCAUGAGUUUCGUCUCUGGAGAGGACUUUCGGCCGCCGAACCUGCCGCCGAAAGUGUCCUGUCCAGCCUUCCUUUGCAUGCUUUGCAUGGAUGAUUAGAGUGAGUUUAAGGGGAUUCUUGGGGAGUUUCUUAGAGUUGCUCAUAAGCUAGUUUGGUCCCUCAUUUGAGUCUAUCUGUAUAGGUACAGACCAGAGGAACCAGAGAGAGCAGUAGUGAGUACUGCUCCAGAGUUUUCAGCGCCUGCAGAGUCAGUCCAGAUAGCUAGAGGUGAGUGGAACUAAACUUAAUGUGUUUAAUUGAGAAAUGAAAUGCUUUUGGCAUAGUUCAUGCAUCAUGAGUAUAUAGUAGGUUGUUGGCAUUAGAAUCCACGAAUAUGUUGCAUUGCAUAGUUAUUUGUUGAUGUGGGUGAAUGCUGAAUGAUCCAAUAGUCUCUGAGAGAAGUCCAGGAGCCUUUGACUACGCCCUGGCAGGUAUAGAGAAGUCCAGGAGCCUUUGACUACGCCCUGGCAGGUAUAGUAAAGUCCAGGAGCCUUUGACUACGCCCUGCCAAUGGUAAGUACAGAGGUGUUAUAUACACAUAUAUAUAUAUAUGACAGGAAGAUCAGGUGCUCGAUUCUACGCCCUGGCACGGCAGAGUUACCGGGACUAUGUGGUGACAGGUUUACCCUUGAUGUGGAUUGUCUGUGUUCUGAUGCAUUCCAUAAGAUCAUAUUUUAAUGAUAUGUUUUACUAUUCUACUCACUGGGCUAUAGAGCUCAUCCCACUCCCUUAACCCCAGGUUUGCAGGUUCAGUGUACAGAGGAGAUCAACAGAGUACAUAAAGAGUAAAGAGAUUUGUAAUAGCUUAGAGUGGACAUGUAAUAUUAAAGAGAUGUAAUAGUUGUGUAUAAAGGUAGAAAUGUGCUUGACUUAGUGAUGUUUGUGUUGUAAAUCUUUUGUUAUGUACAUGAUCUGUAUAUGUAUAUGUUUUACAGAGUAUGUGAAAAACCAGGCUUAACAGGUAUGAGUUACCCAUCUAGAGCAAGCUCUAGUCAGGGGUACAGAGUACAGAGUACAGAGAUAGUGCAUGCACAGGUUAAGCCUUGGUACAGAGAAAAGAGUUUUUAUUUUCACAGAAAAUGUAUGAUCAUGUAUGAGAUUUAUAGGUACACAGAGAGUAUAGCAGGCUUGCUACGGGUUCUGGCGACCUUAAGCCGACCUGAAUCCUAGCGCCGGUGACGGUCCAUUUUGGGGUCGUUACAGAUUGGUAUCAGAGCCCUAGGUUCACAUGAUCGGACCUAUAGAGAGAGUGUCGGGCUCAUAGAGGGUAGAGGUGGUCAAGCACAAUAGGAAAUCAUGUUCACUAGGAGAGGGUGGUGAGUCCUAUCUGUUUGAUGCCAUGAGUUAUGCAUGUGCAUUAUUGAUAUGUGAUGUUUAUGUGCUAAAGUGCUAUAUUAUGUGUUGUUUUCCAGAUGAGCUAGGUUGAUGUCUGUCAACAACAGGAGCUACUGGUUCUGGUGGUGGUGGUGGAGGUACUGGGUCAUUUAGCUCUGGGUGUGCUGCACUUGGAUGGGUAGAGGAAGGUGGAUACAUAGGAUAUGGUGGGUAAUAAUGCGGAUAAGGCAUAUAUGGCAUGUAAGGAGGAUAUGGGACAAAACUAGAGUACUCCGACAUACCUCCCAUCGGAUACUCUGGAUCCUGCGGAAAGACUGGAUAGCCAAAACCUGAGGCUUGAGCGCCUCCCUGCGACUCUCCCAUACCUUCCUCAAAUCUACCUAUACCCAUGUUGUCAUCUCUAGACUGGUCAAUCUCCAUAGCCUCCCUCCUUUCCUCUAAUCUUCCUCCCCUAGUUGUUCCCCUUCUGCUCUCGUCGACAGACCUUCUAGGGUCUAUUGACGUACCUUCCCUGCUAGAUCUCUGAGACCUUGCCCUCGGCAAUGCAGGAGGACGAGCAGCUGUUCUCUCACUAUCUGGUGGGACUCCAGUCAAUCGAGCUGAUCGACGAGUUCCUCACAUCUUUACUUGAAAUUGGAUGCUCCUAAAUACAACACGGGAGAUGAUCCAUUUGAAUACCUCAGAUUAGUUAGGAUGAUAACCAGUGAAUUGGGAGCAGAUGAUAGUCGAGCCAUUGAGAUGGCAGGGUUUACACUCAAAUGCAAGAAAGCCAGAGAAUGGUUCAAGAACUAUAUGGAGCCUAGGAUCGACAACAUGUCGUGGGGAGAGUUCGCCAAUGAAUUUGCAGGGUGGGCUUUUCCUGAUAGUUCCAGGGAGAUGAAAGUAAUAGAGUUCGAACAGUUGAGACAGACAGACGAAAUGAGUGUUGAUGAAUUCACAGAUAAGUUCCUGGAUUUGCUUCAGUAUGUGGGUCAAGCCUAUGAUACUGAUCAGAAGAAGGCAAGGAGAUAUACUAUGAGACUGCAUCCCAGGUAUUCUUCCUUGAUUCUUCCAGCAGAAAAGGAGAGUUUCCACACUAUAGUGGACGCAGCCAGGAAAAUGAAAGCUAGUGCCAAUAUUCAGAAACAGUCAAAGGCACAGGCUUCGGGUUCUAAGGCCCCCAAUUCAGCACCUUCAGGCAGCAAGAGAUGGGAUAGAGAAAAAGGAACAAAGAGUAAGUUCUGAAGUAAAGUCAAGUCAGGUCUGGGAAUAGGUAGUGGCUCAAGCUCUGGCACAGCUCCAGUAUGCAGAAGAUGUGGAAGACCACAUGGAGGAGGUUGUCGAUUGGGAUCUACAGCUUGUUUUAGAUGUGGACAAGAAGGGCAUAUUGCUCGGGAUUGUCCUCAGGUGACUUUUGCACCAUCCUAGCAGAUGAGUUCAGGCAGUGUGGUACAGCCAGUUGUACAGCCAACAACGCCAGUCAUGCCUCAGAGUAGUGGCAGAGGUAGAGGGAGAGGGGCAGCCUCUACUUCAGCAGCAGGUUCCCGAGGUGGAAAUCCGGUAGCCCCAGCACGGAUUUUCACUGUGACACAGGAGGAGGCGAACACGUCGAACAUAGUGGUGUCAGGUAAUCUCAUCAUUGGGUGUUCAGAUGUGUAUGCUUUGAUGGACCCCAGUGCUUCUCAUUCCUUUAUUGCUUCGAGAGCCAUAGAGAGAUUGGGUUUGAUCAGUUCUGAGUUAGAGUAUCCUCUCUGGGUCAGUGGACCCAAGUGUGACCCAUCAGUGGCAGUGUCAGUCUGUCGUUUCAGUCCAGUGUUCAUAGAGGGUAGAUGCCUUCCAACUGACCUUGUGGUUCUAGACUUGACAGAUUUUGAUGUCAUUCUAGGGAUGGAUUGGCUAUCUGCAUAUAGUGCUACUUUGGACUGUAGAGAGAAGAUAGUUAGCCUCAGAGACCAGGAUGGGUCAGAGUGUGUCUUCAGAGGAGACAGGAGGGGUACACCCAGAGGUAUGAUUUCAGCCCUUCAGGCUCGUCAUUUGCUUCGGAGGGGUUGUCAGGGGUUUCUAGCUCAUGUGAGAGAGCUAGACAGUCAGGUGAGGGAACCAGCCACAGUACCAGUAGUCCGAGAGUUUCUCGAUGUUUUCUCAGACGAACUUCCAGGACUACCACCUGGUAGGGAGAUCGAGUUUGAAAUAGAAUUGCUGCCUGAUACCAGACCUAUCUCUAUUCCUCCCUACAGGAUGGCACCAGCAGAGUUAAAAGAGUUAAAAGAACAGUUGCAGGAUUUGGUAGAUAAGGGUUUCAUCCGCCUCAGUACCUCACCUUGGGGUGCUCCAGUGCUCUUUGUCAGAAAGAAGGAUGGAUCCCUCAGACUGUGUAUCGACUACAGACAGUUGAACAAGGUCACUACCAAGAAUAGGUAUCCUUUACCUCGGAUUGAUGAUCUAUUCGACCAGCUAGCUGGAGCAGGUUGUUUCUCUAAAAUAGAUCUGAGAUCCGGGUAUCAUCAGUUAAGAGUCAGAGAGGCAGAUGUGCCAAAGACAGCUUUCAGGACCAGAUAUGGGCAUUAUGAGUUCUUAGUGAUGCUGUUCGGGUUGACUAACGCCCCUGCAGCAUUCAUGGAUCUCAUGAACAGAGUUUUCAGUGAGUUUUUGGAUCACUUUGUCAUUGUUUUCAUUGAUGAUAUUUUAGUGUAUUCCAGAGAUGCAGAGGAGCAUGCCCAACAUCUGAGGAUAGUUCUGCAGACACUGAGAGAGCAUGGGUUAUAUGCCAAGUUCUCGAAGUGUGAGUUUUGGUUGAGGAGCAUUUCCUUCUUGGGACACGUGGUAUCAGCAGAAGGGAUUGAGGUAGACCCCAAGAAGAUAGAGGCUGUAGCUAACUGGCCCAAACCCACUACAGUGACUGAGAUUAAGAGCUUUCUGGGACUGGCAGGUUACUACAGGAGGUUCGUUCAGGACUUCUCAAAGAUAGCAGCUCCUAUGACCAAACUGACUCAGAAGAAUCAGAAGUUUAUCUGGUCAGACCAGUGUGAAGAGAGCAUUGAGGAGCUCAAGAAGAGAUUGACAUCAGCACCAGUACUAGCUCUGCCUGUCAGUAAUGAGGAUUUCACAGUGUUCUGUGAUGCAUCUCGAGUGGGAUUGGGCUGUGUUUUGAUGCAGAAUGAUAGGGUGAUAGCUUAUGCUUCUAGACAGUUGAAGAAGCACGAGUUGAAUUACCCCACCCAUGACCUAGAGAUGGCAGCAGUUAUUUUUGCACUCAAGAUGUAGCGGCAUUACCUCUACGGGGUUAAAUGCGAGAUCUUCACCGAUCAUAAGAGUUUACAGUACAUCUUGAGUCAGAGAGAGCUGAAUUUGAGGCAGAGAAGAUGGGUAGAAUUGCUCAGUGAUUAUGAUUGUAAGAUCCAGUAUCAUCCGGGUAAGGCGAAUAUUGUGGAAGACGCCCUAAACCGGAAGUCACUAGGCAGUUUAGCCCAUAUAGCAGCAGAGCGGAGACCAGUCGUGAUGGAGCUUUACAAGCUCAUCGAGGAGGGGUUACAGCUAGAGUUGUCUAGUACAGGUGUGUUGAUAGCACAGAUGAGAGUGACACCUAUGUUUCUGGAGCAGAUAGCUCAGAAACAACACGAGGACCCAGAGUUGAUGAAAAUUGCCAGGACUGUUCAGUCAGGCAACAGUGCAGAGUUCAGAUUUUACAGUAAAGGGAUCCUCCGCUAUGGGAGUCGCCUUUGUGUACCAGAUAGGAGCAGUGUGAAGGAAGACAUUAUGAGGGACGCUCAUAAUGCGAGGUAUAGUGUUCACCCAGGAGCCACCAAGAUGUACUAGGAUCUGAAAAGGGUCUAUUGGUGGCCAGCCAUGAAGAAAGAAGUGGCGCAGUUUGUGACAGCCUGUGAGGUUUGCCAGAGGGUGAAACUAGAGCAUCAGAAACCAGCUGGAAUGCUUAACCCACUGCCGAUUCCAGAGUGGAAAUGGGAGAACAUAGCUAUGGAUUUUGUAGUGGGUUUACCAGCAGCAUCCAACAGGAUAGACUCUAUAUGGGUGAUUGUGGACAGCCUCACGAAAUCUGCUCAUUUUCUUCCAGUUCGGAGUAACUAUUCUGUGGAUAAGUUAGCACAGGUAUAUCUGGAUGAGAUAGUGAGAUUACAUGGCGUUCCAGUGUCUAUAGUCUCAGACAGAGGACCUCAGUUUACCUCCAGAUUUUGGCGAAGUCUGCAGAGUGCGAUGGGCAUGCGAUUGGAUUUUAGCACUGCUUUCCACCCACAGACUGAUGGACAGUCAGAGAGGACUAUCCAGACCAUAGAGGAUAUGCUUCGACUGUGUGUGUUAGACUUUGGCGGUUCUUGGAGGCAGCAUCUACCUCUGGUGGAGUUUGCCUACAAUAACAGCCAUCAUGCUAGCAUAGGGAUGGCUCCUUAUGAAGCUUUGUAUGGGAGGAAGUGCAGAUCCCCUGUUUGCUGGGAAGAGAUAGGAGAGAAGGCUCUUGCAGGGCCAGAGUUAGUCGAGAUUACUAGUCGAGUGGUGCCUAUGAUCAGAGAGAGAAUCAGAACAACGCAGAGCAGACAGAAAAGUUAUGCAGACGUUCACAGAAAACAGUUAGAGUUCCAAGAGGGUAAUUGGGUAUUGCUGAAAGUGUCUCCAAUGAAGGGAGUGGUUCGUUUUGGGAAGAAGGGUAAAUUAGCUCCACGGUACAUUGGACCCUUUGAGGUUUUGCAGAGGAUCGGAAAUGUGUCGUAUAAGCUGGAUUUACCUGCUUCUAUGGAAAGAAUUCACCCGGUAUUUCAUGUUUCUAUGCUACGGCAGUUUGUGUCAGAUCCGAAUCAGGUUCUGAGUGAGCCUGAGGUGGAAAUUCUUACAGAUCUCACCUAUAUAGAGCAGCCAGUACGGAUUCUCGACACGCAGAUCAGACAGCUAAGGAACAAAGAGAUCCCAAUGGUGAAAGUUCUGUGGAACCACCAUAAUCUAGAAGAAUGCACCUGGGAGACGCGGGAGUCUAUGCUCCAGCAAUAUCCAUAUUUAUUUUGAGGUUAGUUUCCUCCUUUUUAUGUGUUAGUUAUUUAUUUUCGGAACAUUCGGGGACGAAUGUUCUUAAGGGGGGGAGAAUGUAAUACCCGGCUAGAGUUCGGCAUUGGAAUUCUACUUUUCGAUGGAGUUUUGGAUGCCGGAAGACGCUAGCAGGGUUCAAUUUAUGUUUUUCUAUCUUGUUUUGAUAUGUUCAUAAGUUUUAAAGCAUAAGGAAAUGAGUUUUUGAGUGAAAUAAACCAAGGCAGAAAAGCCAGGUUCGGCCGCUGAAGUUGAGGUUCGGCCGCCGAACAUGCAUGGCUUUCGGUUUCACGUGUGGCCGCCGAAGGUGGUCUGGCAAGCCACCUAUAAAAGGCCCUCAGUCGGUUGAAAGGAUAAGGCACGCCGAUUCCUUUCAAUUUUUGAGGUGAGACUCUGUCCUUCUUGAGUAUUUUACAUGUUUUCAUCAAAUCUUGCAAAGGUUUGAUUAGUUUUUAUGUUAUUUUGAAGGUUUUAAGCUAAAAACUCAAAGUUGUGAAGUUUGGAGAGUUUGAAGGAGAGUUGCUCCAAAACUCCACGUUAGGAUCGUUCAUCUUCUUGGUUUCAGGAGGUAAGUGAAGAUCCUGAGCUUGUUUUUAUGUUUUCUGAAGGUUUUUAUGAGGUUUUGGGGGAGAGUUGCAUGAAUAGGGUUAUUUGCGAGGUUUUGAUGAUUUUGUGAGUAAAGCUUGUUUCUGUGUUGUAUGUGUUGUGUGUUUGGGGUUUUAAGGUAGUUUUUGACCCCUUUGAGCAUAUACAUGAGUGUAUGCAAGUUGAGGACUUGAGGUGUUUGAGUUUGAGAGAGUUUUGGUGCUUUUGGCGAGAGGCAGAGCACGUUUCUGUCUUGCUGAUGAAUUCAGGUUCGGCCGCCGAAGGUACAUUCGGCCGCCAAACCCAUGAGGAGGUGGCUUCGACUGCCCAAGCUUGCCCCCGAGCUUUUGGACUUUCGGCUCUGGAGGGGAGUUCGGCCGCCGAAGGUGCCGCCGAAGGUUAGAGACUUUCGUCUCUGGAGUGCCUUUCAGCCUCCGAAACUUGCCCCCAAAAGGGUUCGGCUGCCGAAAGUAGAGAUUCGGCCGCCGAAGGUGCAUGAGUUUCGUUUCUGGAGAGGACUUUCGGCCGCCGAACCUGCCGCCGAAAGUGUCCUGUCCAGCCUUCCUUUGCAUGGAUGAUUAGAGUGAGUUUAAAGGGAUUCUUGGGGAGUUUCUUAGAGUUGCUCAUAAGCUAGUUUGGUCCCUCAUUUGAGUCUAUCUGUAUAGGUACAGACCAGAGGAACCAGAGAGAGUAGCAGUGAGUACUGCUCCAGAGUUUUCAGUGCCUGCAGAGUCAGUCCAGAUAGCCAGAGGUGAGUGGAACUAAACUUAAUUUGUUUAAUUGAGAAAUGAAAUGCUUUUGGCAUAGUUCAUGCAUCAUGAGUAUAUAGUAGGUUGUUGGCAUUAGAAUCCAUGAAUAUAUUGCAUUGCAUAGUUAUUUGUUGAUGUGGGUGAAUGCUGAAUGAUCCAAUAGUCUCUGAGAGAAGUCCAGGAGCCUUUGACUACGCUCUGGCAGGUAUAGAGAAGUCCAGGAGCCUAUGACUACGCCCUGGCAGGUAUAGUAAAGUCCAGAAGCCUUUGACUACGCCCUGGCAAUGGUAAGUACAGAGGUGUUAUAUACACAUAUAUAUAUAUAUGACAGGAAGACCAGGUGCUCGAUUCUACGCCCUAGCACGGCAGAGUUACCGGGACUAUGUGGUGACAGGUUUACCCUUGAUGUGGAUUGUCUGUGUUCUGAUGCAUUCC